rnacentral:rRNA from 1 species
CACUCCAACCCCUGUGACAUACCACUUGUUGCCUCGGCGGAUCAGCCCGCUCCCGGUAAAACGGGACGGCCCGCCAGAGGACCCCUAAACUCUGUUUCUAUAUGUAACUUCUGAGUAAAACCAUAAAUAAAUCAAAACUUUCAACAACGGAUCUCUUGGUUCUGGCAUCGAUGAAGAACGCAGCAAAAUGCGAUAAGUAAUGUGAAUUGCAGAAUUCAGUGAAUCAUCGAAUCUUUGAACGCACAUUGCGCCCGCCAGUAUUCUGGCGGGCAUGCCUGUUCGAGCGUCAUUUCAACCCUCAAGCACAGCUUGGUGUUGGGACUCGCGUUAAUUCGCGUUCCUCAAAUUGAUUGGCGGUCACGUCGAGCUUCCAUAGCGUAGUAGUAAAACCCUCGUUACUGGUAAUCGUCGCGGCCACGCCGUUAAACCCCAACUUCUGAAUGUUGACCUCGGAUCAGGUAGGAAUACCCGCUGAACUUAAGCAUAUCAAAAGCGGAGGAA